ensembl:lncRNA MAGEB17-AS1 MAGEB17 antisense RNA 1
GAAUGGACAUCGACAUAGAGAGAUCAGCUCCACACUUAUACUCUGCCACUCAACUUCCCCAUGUGACUUGAGGAUCACUCUAACUCCAAAACAUAGCAAGCUCGCGGAACAUCAGGGUUCAUGCAAAGUAUUCCAAGGAGCCCCUUGAAGCAACAGAAUGGAUUGCUCUUCUAUGGUGGAAUGGCACCCUGGAUGAUUAAAACCGUAGCAGCAAACAAAACCUCCAUCAAAUAUUCCUGAAAACAGAGUCAAGUUAUAUUUCUAAAGUACUAGCGUCUGCUUAAAGAAAUGACAAGGUGAAGUCUUUCACAAAGUAAGCAUUCAAUGUAUGAUUUCUCUGCUAUGUAAAUCUGGUUGUUCAUACAGUUUCUAUGACAUAAUUGGCCACGACC